rnacentral:rRNA from 1 species
UACGGAGGGUGCGAGCGUUGUCCGGAAUCAUUGGGCGUAAAGGGCGCGUAGGUGGCGGGACAAGCGUGCGGUGAAAGCUUGGGGCUCAACCCCGGGUCGGCAGUGGAUACGGGCAGGCUAGAGGUAGGUAGGGGAGAAUGGAAUUCCCGGUGUAGCGGUGAAAUGCGCAGAUAUCGGGAGGAACACCGGUGGCGAAGGCGGGUUGCUGGGCCGACACUGACGCUGAUGCGCGAAAGCCAGGGGAGCGAACGGG